GCCGCGGUGAAUACGUUCCCGGGCCUUGUACACACCGCCCGUCACACCACGAGAGCUUGCAACACCCGAAGUCGGUGAGGUAACCCUUACGGGAGCCAGCCGCCGAAGGUGGGGCAAGUGAUUGGGGUGAAGUCGUAACAAGGUAGCCGUACCGGAAGGUGCGGCUGGAUCACCUCCUUUCUAAGGAGA
rnacentral:rRNA from 1 species